CUGGAGGACCGAACCGACUAAUGUUGAAAAAUUAGCGGAUGACUUGUGGCUGGGGGUGAAAGGCCAAUCAAACCGGGAGAUAGCUGGUUCUCCCCGAAAUCUAUUUAGGUAGAGCCUUGAGCGGACACCUUCGGGGGUAGAGCACUGUUUCGGCUAGGGGUCCAUCCCGGAUUACCAACCCGAUGCAAACUACGAAUACCGAAGAGUGAUACUCAGGAGACACACGGCGGGUGCUAACGUCCGUCGUGGAGAGGGAAACAACCCAGACCGCCAGCUAAGGUCCCAAAGUCUAUAUUAAGUGGGAAACGAAGUGGGAAGGCUUAGACAGCUAGGAUGUUGGCUUAGAAGCAGCCAUCAUUUAAAGAAAGCGUAAUAGCUCACUAGUCGAGUCGGCCUGCGCGGAAGAUGUAACGGGGCUCAAAUAUAGCACCGAAGCUGCGGCAUCAGACGAAAGUCUGUUGGGUAGGGGAGCGUUCUGUAAGCGGAUGAAGGUUAAUCGAGAGGUUAGCUGGACGUAUCAGAAGUGCGAAUGCUGACAUAAGUAACGAUAAAACGGGUGAAAAACCCGUUCGCCGGAAGACCAAGGGUUCCUGUCCAACGUUAAUCGGGGCAGGGUGAGUCGGCCCCUAAGGCGAGGCUGAAAAGCGUAGUCGAUGGGAAACGGGUUAAUAUUCCCGUACUUGGAUAAACUGCGAUGUGGGGACGGAGCAGGUUAGGUUAUCGCACUGUUGGAUAUGUGCGUUUAAGUUUGUAGGUGGGAAGUUUAGGCAAAUCCGGACUUCUAUUCAACACUGAGAGAUGAUGACGAGGCUCUACGGAGCUGAAGUAACCGAUACCACACUUCCAGGAAAAGCCACUAAGCUUCAGGUUUAUCUAAACCGUACUGAAAACCGACACAGGUGGUCAGGUAGAGAAUACUCAGGCGCUUGAGAGAACUCGGGUGAAGGAACUAGGCAAAAUAGCACCGUAACUUCGGGAGAAGGUGCGCCGGCGUAGAUUGUAGUCCCUCGCGGGCGAAGGUUGAACCGGUCGAAGAUACCAGCUGGCUGCAACUGUUUAUUAAAAACACAGCACUCUGCAAACACGAAAGUGGACGUAUAGGGUGUGAUGCCUGCCCGGUGCUGGAAGGUUAAUUGAUGGUGUAAUCGAAAGAGAAGCUCCUGAUCGAAGCCCCAGUAAACGGCGGCCGUAACUAUAACGGUCCUAAGGUAGCGAAAUUCCUUGUCGGGUAAGUUCCGACCUGCACGAAUGGCAUAAUGAUGGCCAGGCUGUCUCCACCCGAGCCUCAGUGAAAUUGAAAUCGCCGUGAAGAUGCGGUGUACCCGCGGCUAGACGGAAAGACCCCGUGAACCUUUACUAUAGCUUGACACUGAACAUUGAAUUUUGAUGUGUAGGAUAGGUGGGAGCCUUUGAAGCAGUCACGCCAGUGAUUGUGGAGGCGUCCUUGAAAUACCACCCUUUAACGUUUGAUGUUCUAACGAAGAUUACGAAACGUGGUCUCGGACAGUGUCUGGUGGGUAGUUUGACUGGGGCGGUCUCCUCCCAAAGAGUAACGGAGGAGCACGAAGGUUUGCUAAUGACGGUCGGACAUCGUCAGGUUAGUGCAAUGGUAUAAGCAAGCUUAACUGCGAGACAGACAAGUCGAGCAGGUACGAAAGUAGGUCAUAGUGAUCCGGUGGUUCUGAAUGGAAGGGCCAUCGCUCAACGGAUAAAAGGUACUCCGGGGAUAACAGGCUGAUACCGCCCAAGAGUUCAUAU
rnacentral:rRNA from 1 species